rnacentral:rRNA from 1 species
UUCUGACCGUAAACGAUGCCAUCUAGCGAUCCGAUAGGGAUUUGAGGCCCUGUCGGGGAGCUUCCCGGAAACGAAAGUCUUUCGGUUCCUGGGGUAGUAUGGUUGCAAAGCUGAAACUUAAAGAAAUUGACGGAAGGGCACCACCAGGAGUGGAGCCUGCGGCUUAAUUUGACUCAACACGGGAAAACUCACCCGGCCCGGACACCGUUAGGACUGACAGAUUGAAAGCUCUUUCUUGAUUUGGUGGUUGGUGGUGCAUGGCCGUUCUUAGUUGGUGGAGCGAUUUGUCUGGUUUAUUCCGAUAACGAGCGAGACUCUGCCCUGCUAUUUAGUGUUCGGAUUCUUAAGUCUGGAUAGCUUCUUAGAGGGAUAAGCGGUGUUCAGCCGCACGAGAUAGAGCGAUAACAGGUCUGUGAUGCCCUUAGAUGUCCGGGGCUGCACGCGCGCUACACUGGAAGACUCAACUGGUUCCUGGGCCGAAAGGUUCGGGAAAACCGCUGAAACUCUUCCGUGACCGGGAUAGGGAAUUGUAAUUAUUUCCCUUGAACGAGGAAUUCCUAGUAUGUGUGGGUCAUCAGCUCACGCAG